rnacentral:rRNA from 1 species
GAUGAACGCUGGCGGCGUGCCUAAUACAUGCAAGUCGAGCGAACAGACGAGGAGCUUGCUCCUCUGACGUUAGCGGCGGACGGGUGAGUAACACGUGGAUAACCUACCUAUAAGACUGGGAUAACUUCGGGAAACCGGAGCUAAUACCGGAUAAUAUAUUGAAUCGCAUGGUUCAAUAGUGAAAGACGGUUUUGCUGUCACUUAUAGAUGGAUCCGCGCCGCAUUAGCUAGUUGGUAAGGUAACGGCUUACCAAGGCAACGAUGCGUAGCCGACCUGAGAGGGUGAUCGGCCACGCUGGAACUGAGACACGGUCCAGACUCCUACGGGAGGCAGCAGUAGGGAAUCUUCCGCAAUGGGCGAAAUCCUGACGGAGCAACGCCGCGUGAGUGAUGAAGGUCUUCGGAUCGUAAAACUCUGUUAUUAGGGAAGAACAAAUGUGUAAGUAACUAUGCACGUCUUGACGGUACCUAAUCAGAAAGCCACGGCUAACUACGUG